AGUGAACGCUGGCGGUAGGCCUAACGCAUGCAAGUCGAACGGCAGCACAGUAAGAGCUUGCUCUUACGGGUGGCGAGUGGCGGACGGGUGAGGAAUACAUCGGAAUCUACUUUUUCGUGGGGGAUAACGUAGGGAAACUUACGCUAAUACCGCAUACGACCUACGGGUGAAAGCAGGGGAUCUUCGGACCUUGCGCGAUUGAAUGAGCCGAUGUCGGAUUAGCUAGUUGGCGGGGUAAAGGCCCACCAAGGCGACGAUCCGUAGCUGGUCUGAGAGGAUGAUCAGACACACUGGAACUGAGACACGGUCCAGACUCCUACGGGAGGCAGCAGUGGGGAAUAUUGGACAAUGGGCGCAAGCCUGAUCCGGCCAUACCGCGUGGGUGAAGAAGGCCUUCGGGUUGUAAAGCCCUUUUGUUGGGAAAGAAAAGCAGCAGGUUAAUACCCCGCUGUUCUGACGGUACCCAAAGAAUAAGCACCGGCUAACUUCGUG
rnacentral:rRNA from 1 species